AGGGUAUGGACCUGUGCCCAAAGGGCCAUAUAUGCUCCUGGAAGUUGGUGGUGGCCGUAGUUCUCCAUCCAUUAAGCACACCCUCACCCACUAAUGUCCUUGAGAAAGGCUCUCCCUUUCCUGGUUUUCCUGAAUAGAAAUCCUCUUGCAUCUUGAGUGAAUAGGGGUAUGCAUUGUGCAGAGGGUGUUGGUCCACUGAGCAUCUUAGAGACUGUCCUUUAUGGAGCCUUUAUGGGGAAUGAGGCCAGGGUCCUAACUGUGGUUAGUGUGAGGACACCAUGGUUUCAGCAGAGGUAAAGAAGGACAAGGGAAACUCAGAAGUCCCUCAUGGCCCCUGGAGUUAGAGGACUUACUCCUUUGCACCUGGGAUCAGGAGACCUCAUUUCCUUGAGGACACGCACACUCAGGGGUAGGUCUUGAGUGUGGGGUCCUUACUGGGGUCCAGGGCUGUUGUUAGCCACCAGCAAUGACAGUGCUCUCCAUGCUCAGUGGAGCCAUUUUUGCCAGGAAAGAGAGCCCGUGGUCACGCCUUGUCCAAAGCAUCCCACGCCAGGGGCUCCCAUCCCUAGCACUCCUGUCCUGAAAGGAAGCCCCUCAGAGGCAAGGUGGGUCCAACCACCUCCCAUGUGUUCACUCAUCACCGUGUUCCAGCAGUCACCCCAGUUAACAGUCCUGAUGGGACUGGAUGUGGCUCAGAAUGUCACCCUCAUGAGCUCUACCCUGCUCCAGCUGCAGUUCUGCAGUGGGAGAAACACAAAACCUCAAAAUACAUGCACAUGAAUGAAAAGAGCAAGAGCCAGAGCCCAAACAGGCCAGGUGUGGCAAGGACAGCUGGAGUGCCUAGGUUGGGACUCAGAAUUAUGUCAGUGGGGUGGCAUUGCUGCUGGCACCAGCAUGAUAACAGAGAGCCAGGCCUGCUCAUUUUGGGGAGCAGUGUGUUGGGGAAGGCAGCAGAAAUUGAGAGGCAGGAUUGAGUUUGGCCCUAGGAGGAGGUUGGGUAAAAGGCCAGUGUGGGUUGGAGGGCCUGGGCAGAUAGAGAGAGGCCAGGGCACACCCCAAAGCCUGGAGACUGCACUUGAUGUCCAGGGUUGUGAGACACCACCUCCCCUCUUACUCACAACUGAGAGCAAGAGGCAUUGAUCAGUUCAGUUUGUGUGCGGCUGCAUCCAAGGUGGCUCGGCUAGGCACCUCUGUUUCCUUGACUCAGGAGGCUGGGAGUCCAGGCUCCACCGAGGCUCGGCUGGGAGGAUCAGAGUCUGAGUUCAUGCCUGUGUUCCUGGUAGGAUCCAUGUUGGCUAGCCUCAGUGUUUUUGUAAUGAGAGGAUGGGUGACUGUCAUGUCUUUAUCACAGGACACACUUGCUAAAUGGAUUUGUUUGCUCUGAGGAGGAAAGAGAGAGAGGGAAGUGGUGCUGGAGACAGGGAUGCAGACAGGGGUCAUGGACUUGGCAUAACUCAGUCUUGGAGAUGACAUCCCAUCACCUAUACCCACUUCAAUUCCCAUGAAUCCAGAGGCUGAGCCCCUUGAGGUGAGGGGUGAACUGGUUCUGGCAGCAGGAUGCUGUGGUACCUCGGAGUCUCUGUGAGACCCCAACACUCGACGCACUUGGGCCCUUUGGAAUUCUUAGGAGAAGCCUUGGGAAGUUGUAGGGCAGAGGGGAGCAGCCUCUGCAUCUCAGUCGCCUCCAACUUGCCAUGGUGCAGAGUGGGAACUGCAGCCAGGAUGGGACGGACGUUGGCCACGUCCCUGUGUGGGACACAGGCCUGAUUGAGUUGGGGUGCAUUCUUUGUCUCUCCGCUUCUUGUGAUUGUCCCAUCUCUACGUUUGUGCUUUAGCCACCUGUGAGUCCCAUCUCUGGUUUCAGAGAGAAUAGAGGCUGUUAUGGGCCAAUAGACACAAUAACCCUAGAGAUUAGAUGCUACCCUGCUUUCCAGAAAAGACUGGGCACGCCAUGAGUUGCACAAGGAUGAGACCAGGGUCCAAAAGCUGCUGAGAGGGAAGGACUGGUUGUGAAUGCAUUUUUGAAGGCUCCAAGCUGGAACUCUAGUGGCACCAAGCAGGGCAGAUGCUGGUGGGGGUAUUUGGGUAGUUGUUGGUGAACACAUGCGCACCUUAUAUGGGUAGGCAUGGAGGAGAAAUCAGCAGCCCAUAGGGCUUUUGAAAGUGGUCUUAUGUGAAAAGAGGCUCAGGUAUGGGCACAGGAAAUGACAUCAUCGCCUUGACAAUGGAUCAAACAGAACAUGGAACCCUGGUAUCCAGGCACCCACUUCACUGACCAAGCCAUCCGAGCUCAUUUGGUUGGAGACACUGAAGUGAGAAGGAUGUUCUCCUGUGGUUGCAAACAAUGCCGAACCUCAGGCUCCCAGGAAUCUCAGGGGGGCCCACCAGCCCUUUUGUGGAUACACUGGGUGAGGCUUCAUCUUAGAUGCCAGAGCCUCUGGCGAUUGUCGCAGAGGAGCUCAAGAGUAACAGGUGAAAAUGAUCAGAACACGGAGGAGCCCUUCAGGGUACAGAGCCUUGAAUCUUCCAGGCAGGACCAGCUUAGGAAUGAGCUCCUGCCUGACAUUUGUGGGAGGAACCUACAUUUCCGCAGCAACAUGGGGUUAAUCUCCUGGGAUUUCAUCCCCACCCAGCAGGUGCUGGAUCUCUUGUUCCCAAGUGCCUCACCUUCCUUCCCGGGGACCUGGGUGAACUUCUACACCGAGGCUUCCCAUCAGCCUCCAGGCUCUCUGAGUCUGCAGCUACUACUGCAAUCCAUGUGGCUCCUUCUGGGUGGCUUGAACCUGGAGCACGAAGCCCACCACCUGCUGGCCCAGACUGAAGAUGGCAAAUCAAGCCAGGCAGAGCCUGAGAGCCAGGCGGACUGGGCUACAAGCUCAGUUCCUGUCACGGCUCCUAAGCCAACCCCAGAGCCAGAGCCUUCUCCCUGGGAAGGGGCAGAGCCGGAGUCCAGGACAUCAGGGGUCUCCACUAGGAGCUCCUCACGGCCCCAGUACAACAAGCGGGUGGGAGGCAGCUGCCUCAUUCACGUCUACCUGGAAAACGAAAGGACAACAAAGUAUAAGAGCAUCCUGGUGACCUGCCAGGACAGGGUUCCAGUCAUUAUCCGCAGGGCCCUAGAUGCACACUUGCUCCAGCAGGAGGAUCCAGAAAACUUUGAGCUUCUGCAAAUUGUCUCGAACCAUCAGAAGCUGAGGAUCCCUGCUGAUGGGAACGUAUAUCACGCCCUGGAUGGCAGAGUGGAUUAUAACUUUCUUCUUCGGGAAACAGCUGCCAGCAAGUGGUCCAAGGUCAAGCCAAAGGAGUUCUUGGAGCCUUCUAUGGCAGUGGCAUCCAGGAUCCCAGCAGCUGUGAGCAGCAGCUCUGCAGUGGCUGCAGGACCAUUGCCCCAGGCCACCCAAAGCAAUGAGUGCUGCAUGAGAAAAGUCACCAGUAGCAGCUCCUCACUGUUUCACUCCAGCGAGCAGGUGGAAGACAGCCGCGUGGUUCACGUCCUCCUAGAGGGACAGAGCCCGAGGGAGACAAAGCGCAUCCUGCUCUCUGGAAACACCUCACGUGGAGCUGGCCUAAGCCAGCCAGAGCUCCUGACUGCUGCUCAGAGGCCAUCGGAGAGAUACGGACUCCUCCUCCCGUCCUGGCAAGAGGAAUGUUCACACAGAGAUGGAAGAUGCUGGGCAGGAAAGGGGGAGCCCGGAGCUGACGGGCCUCUGCCGAAACCUGGUAUCCUGGGCCCAGACCUGGCCACUGUCAGGCUUGCAAGCCCAGAAGGUCAAAGGCUGGAAUUCCAUCCAAACCAAAGGGCACCCAGAACAGUCCAGAUCUCCAAGUUCCUGUUCUGGUGGCCGCACGUCACCACGAGAUUCUGCCUCCCCGAUUUUCAAGGGUCUCUGGCUAAAAUGUCAGUGUCUUUGGGAACAGUCACCCUUUCGAGUCUCCAGGGGAAUCUGGAGCAGCUGAGGGUCUGAAUCCAGCCUGAGCUAGGGACCAGGGUGCAGAUGGGGCACUGUGGGAACUCUGGUGCCUAAGUCUGCGUGACACCUGAGCCUGGCCGCCUGGCCUGGGUGAGGCCUGGCGUCGGCCUUGGCGGUGGCCCUGGCUAGCUGUGAUUCAGCUCCAAGGAACCUGCUUCCUCGUCUGCAGCGUGGAAAGAUAGCAGCGUCCACACAGUAGAAUACCUUUGAGAGGUCACAGAGAAUUCGGGCAGCAUUCCUGGUGCCCGUCCUGCUGAGAACGCCCGUCAGUCAUCUAGAGCUCAAGUUUAACACAGAAGGCAGCGGCCAGCGGAUGGAGGGGGCAGGAGGGGCCCCACAAGGAGAGCUUGGCAGUGACCUCUGUCCCUCCAGAGCCCCUCUCCUGCCGCCUUCCUACAGAGGCCAGAAACCUCUAUCCCAUCUGCAGGGCCUGGGCAUGGGGGAGAGUAUCGUGGGAGACCCACAUGCCUCUGUGGGCACCAGGACAGAACGUGGCCCGCUCCACUGACUGGGCGAAAGUUGCCAAAGGGCCUCCUCUGCCAAGCCCUCCCACCAUGAUGCACUGGGCUCCCACAGGCCCAGAGCAACAGGGCCAAGCGACCGUGGACUGAAACCUCCGCAACCACGAACCAAGAUAAACCUUUUCUCUGAUUGAGUUGAUUAUCUCAGGUAUUUUGUGAUAUGACGGAAAGCUGACUCAUGGGACCCAUGAUGUUGUCUUGGGGAUUAAACGAAGAAGUGCUGAGAGCAGCAGGGGGACCCAGUGGCACUGCCUAUGUCCUAGCAGGUGCCUGUUGAACGUGUGCUGCUCAAGGAAGCCCAGCACUCCCCAGGUGUCACCCAGGGAGCCGGGCACCUAUGAAAGAGGGUCCUAGCUCAGAGCCAGUGUCUGCCUGAGGCGUGCCAGCUCCUUCAGGCUGUGAAGCUGGACACUGUGGGGACAGAACGAAGGCCUUGAACCAGGCAGAGAGUGGGGAGAAUCACUGUCAAUCUGUUUUUCCAAAUUGCGCUAUUUCAAAUGCCCUGGGCAGAUGCCCACGUGUGCGGGGUCACUCAGCUGGGCCAGAGGCCCUUUGUCUCCUUGAAAGGCCCCAUUGUGACCCCACACCAUCCCCAACUGCUUCUUGGAACAAGAGGCCCUUGUGUGGGCCCUGCAGGCCAGCUCCUCUGGCCCUCGGCUGGCAGCGGGGAUUCUGUCCCUGUGGGGUUGUUGCAGGGCGCCGUCCACCUCCACCUCCAAUAAGAGCCAGUGUUUCGUCAGGUUCUAGAACGUGGAGGAAGCCCUACUUCCCCAGAAGUGGGUCUUCUACAGAGGGGCAGAUGCCCUGGGGACGAACUAGGAGAGGACAGGUGGGGAGGUUGGCUUCCAGAGAAGGUGGGCAGCAUGGGACCCUCUGGGCCACCCUGCCCUGAGGGGAAGGUCACCAGGAGGAUGCCCCCAGGAGGUGCCCCUGAGCCUCCAGGAGCAAGGUGAACAUUCAGUGCCCUGUUGGAGUUGACCCACAGCGGCCUACCCGGGGGCCUCCUGGGCUGCACUCUCCCCGUGGGAGCCCCAGGGAGUGGCGUGAGGGCCCCAGAAGGCAGCAGGGACGGCCUGGGUGGCUCUCUGGGCUGAGUCCAGCCAGAGCACUGUCCACGGGAUCCAGAGGCCCAGCUCCACCCCUGAGGUCCCUGCCAGCUGGCCACUCCACUGGGCAUCUGCUAUCCCGUCCCUUCCCACUGAGCCCCGGCUCCAUCUGGUCCGCAAGCUUCGGCUCUUGGUCACAUCAGGGACAAGAGUCCCUCCAUCCUUUCUCAGGCCCGGGGAAAGGUGAGCUCUGCUCUGGGGGCCUAGGAAGCCUCAGGUCCCUCCCCUUGGCAAGGUACGUGCUGGGCCGGGCAGGCCUCUGGCUCUCCGAGGAGAGCCCAGGGGCUGCCUGACGGGGCACUGUCAUGGCCCCGCUCUCGAAAAGAAGACGGAGUCCAAGGCCCACGCACCCCCGCCUGUGAGGCCCUGGUCGAGGUCGGGGCUGUCCCUCUGCCCACACAGGCAGGUGCCCGUGCCACGUGCAUGUCCACCAGAGGUGCUCACGGUGGCUUCUCCCUUUUUCUCUCCCCUUCAGCCCUGGGGAUUGAACCCAGGGCUCUCCCUGAACUCCAUCGCCAGCCCUUUUUAUUCUUCAAGUUGAGACAGGCUCUCACUAAGUGGCAGCGGCUUCCAACAUGUGAUCCUCUGUCUCUGUGUCCCAAGUCCCUGGUGUGUGCCACCGCACUGACUUCAUUGUCGUCACUUCUUGAGAGGCCAGUAGGUCAGAUCUGCAUAAGGACAGAUCUGGGAGUAAUCAGGGCCCCAAGGCCAGAAGGGGCUGCCCAAGGCCCCCAUGCAAAGAGGCCUGGGCACCAGAUCCACCCCUUCCUGGAGGGGCCAAGGGAGCCAGCGUCAGGGGCUCAGCCAUAGCUCAGUCUCUGGGGUCUGGGUGCCUUUGCUCUUGCCCAGUGGGUUCCUUGAAUGUCCUCCCUCGUCACCCCUGGCUCCCCAGGCAUCAUGGGUUCUCAGAGGAGUGGUGCCCUGAGCAGGCAGGACUGCCACUCAGCGGACACUUGCACCUGCAGACACCAAACAGCUGGGUACAGACAGCUGCGAGCUGGUGCAGGAGCUGAGGGGCACCGGGUGGGUUGGUUAGAGGGGCAGGAGAAGGGCAGCAAGACCUGGGGAGGGCAUUCGGGGGCCUGAGGAAACCACACCUGCCCCAUUCACACCCAAUUCCAGUAGGAUGCAAUUCAGGGGCUGAGGUCACGGCUCAGUGGUGGAGCACUUGCCUGGCCCGUGUGAGGCACUGGCUUUGAUCCUCAGCACCACAGUAAGAUAACACACAAAAAGAAAGAUCCAUCUAUACUGAAAAGUAUUUAAAAAAAAAAUCGGAUGCAACUCAAAUGGGAAAUGAGUUGCAGAUUUCUAAAUGGUCUCGGGACAGAAGGGACAGGAAGCUGUAUCAGACUCGUCAGCAAAGCCGUGGACUAGUAAGGGCUUUAUCAUUAGCAAAAAUGAGAAAGGUCCUAUGAAAGUUUAUUUAAAUGAUUAAAAAAAUUUAACUUUGGGAAAUUCAAUUCAACCUUCUUGCCUCCCUCCCUUCCAUAAUGCAAAGGAGCCUCGCUUGCACCAAGUUCUGGGGUAAGCGCCCUGCAGAGGGCAGUUUUGAGACUUCCCUCCAUCGACACUGAAUGACAAAUUUUGUAAACACAUGACAAACCCCUAUUAUUUCGUAAUUUGUAGUUUAGUUUUGCUUUUUAGCUACAGCCCCUGCCAAGCCUGUUGCUCAUGGUUUACUAUGAAAUUUCGGUUAUGUUCAGUGGACUUGUCGCAAGUGGCUAGAUUUUGAUACCAGUGACCCAGAUUUUUGAUACCAGUGACCCUGGAAUGUCACUCAUUCUUGAGCCACGGGAUCAAGGGGACUCAGAACAGGGGCUGGGCUUCCAGAUUCCCAACUUAGGGACCUUUGUCUACUUACAGCCUGGACAGCUAACACCAGAAACCCAGUGUCCACCGGUUGUCUCUGCUUCCUUCCACUCUGCAGCCGGGUCCCCUUUCUCCCCAGCGACAUUCUAAAACCAGUUGAUUAUCCAUGUCACCAGGGAACACAGAACAGACCACACAGCUCAAAACAGUUCGGAUCAGCUUUACAAAAAGUGAGAGGAAACAUCUGUACCUAGUUUUCUUUGGGUUUAAGGAAUUUUUUUCUUUCUUUCUGUUUUUUUUUUUUUUUUGUACCAGGGAUUGAACCCUGGGGCACUAACCCACUGGGCCACACCCCAGCCCUUUCUUGUAUUUCAUUUAGAGCCAGGGUCUCACUGAGUUGCUUAGCGCCUCACUGAGCUGCUGAAGCUGUAUUUGCGAUCCUCCUGCCUCAGCCUCUGAAGCCACUGGGACUACCAGUGGGUGCCACCACGCUGGGCGGUUUAAGGGAAUUCUAACUGAGCACAGACUAGACUACUGGGGGGAAUGGCUGGGGCCCAGGCUGGCACUUGGCGAGUUUCCCGGGAGGGGAUGCCAUCCGGGCAGUAGAUUCUGGGAGGGUGAGGGCAGUGGCUGAGCGUGCAUGAUGUCAUCUGACUGUCACUGAGGCUGCCUCCUAAUUAAGUCAAAGGUCCUCAGAAGGCUGCCAGGAGCGGGCUCCCAGCACGGGGCAAUUCAAAACCAAACCCCCAGCACAGCCACAGAGGGACUAUACACAUGGGCACUUUAUAAAGUCUUUCAGAGGGUUCUCAUCUUCUGCUGUGGCAUUUGGAAAUGUCUUUCAGGUGAGUUUCAGUUCCUACGACGCUUAGAAGCACCCCAUGAAAUGGGUCUCCACGGAGCCCGUGGGAGCUCCCAUCUGCUGUUCUCAAGACCCAGCCCAGGGGCCAGCAAGGGAUGCUGUGGUCUUCUGAGGUCACGCUCCCCGUGUCCCACCCCACAGGCCCCCCCAAGACAGGAAGAGGCCCUGGACAGCUCAGCACUGCAGGUUAGCAGCCAGUCCCUGCCCUGGUGGAAAGGUCAAUGGGAAGGUCAACAUGAUACCCGUGGGAAAGUGUUGCUUUUUUUUUUUCUCUUCUUUUUGCCCCGUUGAGAGCAUCUCUGCCUUCUAGAAAGUUACGCUGAAGGAUGGGCUGAUCCGCCAACACCUCUGGGUUUUCAGCUCAAGUCUGGCUGCUUUAUGACGACUUCCACCUAAUUAAAGAGAACACGGCGUGGACCACGUAGAGCAGCGUGGCGACAUAGGAGAACACCUGGAACCCAGAGAGAGCCCCAUUAGUGUUGGGGGUGGGGGGCAGGCAGGGAGGCCCACGGGUCCACGCUGCCUGGAGCACCACAUGGCCCUUGGGCUGCCACUGCCCGUCACUCAUGCACACACCCUUUCCUGGGUAGCCCAGGUGCAUCCCUAAUCCUCUCCCCACACAGCCCCAGGGGACCUGACUCAAGAUCCCUGGGUCCUAGAAUGCAAGAUGAAACCACCAACUUCACCCAACGUCCAGGUGUGGUCAGCUGACUUGAAAUGGGAACACUGAGGGCCCCUGCAAGGAAAGCAUCCAGGCAGGUGUCAAUGACUCAGUGGAAACUGCCCCCCUCCCCCUCACAGGCACCCAAGAUAGCGGCCACCAGCGAUGGUGGUGGCUGAGCUAUGAGAUCUGAGACAUGGGCCUGCUGGCCCUCGCUGGGGUCUCCAAGCUCCUGGACAUCCUGACCCCUGUUGGACUCUUAUCCUGGGAUCCAUCAUUGCCCAGGCAAGGGUGAAGGUCAGGGUCCAUGGGAAGUACGGGUCAGGGAAGGUAAGGAGGAUGUCUAGCUUUUGUCAAAAAGAAGGGGCUCCCUAAGAAAGCUGUGGCAAUUGCUUACAGUGAAUCAAAAUGCAUUCUGCUGCCAUAUAUAACUGAUUAAAAUGACUUAAUUAAUCAAUUAAAAAUAAUAAAGCUGUGAGAGGAUGCAGAA